UUAUUAAAUUAACUUUAUACUCUGACGUAAAGAUGCAGUGUUUGAUGACCUCCGGGGGGAAUGCCGCGAACGGCAGGGUCGCCCCCGAAGCAACAUGAUGCGUUCACAAAGGGUUGGAGGUCGGGAUUGCUCCCUCACUCAGUAAUGAUCCCUCCGCAGGUUCACCUACGGAGA
rnacentral:misc_RNA from 1 species